rnacentral:lncRNA from 1 species
AAAAUUGGCGCACACUCAGGACUCUCACGUAAUCCGCUGAGACAUCCCCUGGCUGAGGAUUCUCCGAUAUGCUGAUAAUCUGGUGAGGGUUGGAGCUACUUGGGACCUCCUCAUAUGUAGAUAAUUGCUACGCUUCGCUUUUCCUCUCACCUGCCAAACAAGGAAGAUCCCACUCUAGGAAUAGCUAGGCAACAUGGUGUGCCCAGCCAUUCAUUUUCUCUUUCCUUUGCCAUUAUUAUUCGACAUAGAAAAUUAGAUGUCAAACCGUUAUCGACUUCCUCGCUCCACCUGCGAAAUCUGGACGCUUCAAUAAGGAACACUGGCGAUCUCGAAG